CCUACGGGAGGCAGCAGUGAGGAAUAUUGGUCAAUGGCCGGAAGCCUGAACCAGCCAAGUCGCGUGAGGGAGGAAUGCCCUGCGGGUUGUAAACCUCUUUUGUCGGGGAACAAAGUGCCGCACGUGUGCGUUUUUGAAUGUACCUUGUGAAAAAGCAUCGGCUAACUCCGUGCCAGCAGCCGCGGUAAUACGGAGGAUCCGAGCGUUAUCCGGAUUUAUUGGGUUUAAAGGGUGCGUAGGCGGGUUUUUAAGUCGGCGGGAAAAUCGUGGGGCUCAACGCCAGCCAGCCGUUGAAACUGGGGGUCUUGAGUGCGGGAGAGGUAGGCGGAAUGCGUGGUGUAGCGGUGAAAUGCAUAGAUAUCACGCAGAACGCCGAUUGCGAAGGCAGCGUACCG
rnacentral:rRNA from 1 species